CACAGGCACAACCUGCUUUAAAUGGAACUCCCAGCUGCAGCACCAGAUGCCUCAGAGCCCUAUUUCCACCUGACAUUUGACCAAUGGCAGCUGUGAUUUCCUGUUUUACAGAGCUGUUCUGAGGAUCACCCAUCAUCUAAAAGCACCCCAUGGAUCUGAAGUGAGACAAACAGGAGGAUUGCUGGUGUUCUGUCCACUGUUGCACAUGGAAUGACUGAUUAGGAGUGUGCCUUCCACCAAAAUACAUUCUUCCAGGACAGAAUCCAACAGCAGACAGCAGAACUUGGAACUGCCAAUAUCUGCUUCAUCUUGCCCAUCCUCUAGACCCAAGCCAGCCUAAUAAAUCUGUGCCUUACUUAAAAUAUCCAACAUAAAAUUUCACCAUGACACCACAGUAUGGUGAAGCAAAAACAGGUUUAUCCUUCAUUUCAAGGAACAAAGGGAUUCUCUUUGUAAAAGAUCAUGAGAACUGACAAACUCAACCAUUACCAAUUCUAGAUCUGCAAUAGUACACAGGGCUUGGAGAGUAAAAUAUAUUAUUUAUAUAGCAGUUAGGGCUCAAAAGUGUUACAAGAAACAAAGAAAAACUGAAAUAAUUUAUGCAGAAUUGUGUUACCUGAAGAAUAACCAGGCUGAACUUGCUGCUUUGGGGCUUACUGAAUUCUGACACAUUUCUCACCAGAAGCCAGCACUCAUGGCACAUCUUGACUUUACCCCUUCUCUUUAAUUAUAAAUUGCUAUUCAGCAUUGCCUUUUGCAAACCAUGAUCUUUUGUACAUCUCCUUCAUAAUUAUAACAAACUUCCUAACCCCUCAGCUGACAAGCAACAUUACAGGCCUGUCAGGUUUCUGGUGAUAAUGUCUUAUUCUACAAUGCCAUAUGAAUAGCUGUCCUUUGAGGAUCAGAAAUGUACAAUAUGCACUGCUUCAAUGUGUAAAGAUAAGAUUAAACUACAAGGAAGGCAAUUAAAUGCUUAGAUCACAUUAAUAAAAGCAUUUCCUCUGUUUACCCUGGUGUAAUC
rnacentral:lncRNA from 1 species